rnacentral:tRNA from 1 species
ACUCUAAUAGUUUAUAAAAACAUUGGCCUUGUAAGCCAAAGAUUGAAGAUACGAUUCUUCUUAGAGUA